rnacentral:rRNA from 1 species
CACCAGGUUGAUUCUGCCUGACGUAGAUGCUAGUCUCUAAGAUUAAGCCAUGCAUGUUUAUGUAAUAAGGACGAACAGCUCAGUAGAACUACGAUGAUUUAGUCUCUCUGAUAAAGAUAACUACGUGAAAAUGUAGCUAAGAGAGGAGAGAAUAAGACGUAGGACUAUCAGUUAGUUGGUAGUGUAAUGGACUACCAAGACGAUGACGGGUAACGGGGAAUCAGGGUUUGAUACCGGAGAGGGAGCCUGAGAGAUAGCUCCCACGUCCAUGGACGGCAGCAGGCGCGAAAAUUGCCCACUCUUGUAGGAGGCAGUUAUGAGACGUGAAGAUGAAUAUUCAGCAAAGAUGAAUAGGAGAAUUGGAGGGCAAGUUUGGUGCCAGCCGCCGCGGUAAUACCGACUCCAAGAGUGUGUAUGAGAGAUGCUGCAGUUAAAAAGUCCGUAGUCAUAGAAAAGUAAACGGGGAUGUGAAGUCUCUUUAGUUAGUAAUAGAAAAGCCGAUGGGGAACAUAGUAUACCAGGGCGAGAGAUGAAAUGCCAAGACCCCUGGUGGACUGAGCGAGGCGAAAGCGAUGUUCUUGUAGGUGUUUGAUGAUCAAGGACGAAGGCUGGAGUAUCGAAAGUGAUUAGAUACCGCAGUAGUUCCAGCAGUAAAAGAUGCCGACAUGUUCAUUGGCAACAGUGGACAGGGAGAAAUCUUAGAGUUCGGGCUCUGGGGAUAGUAUGCUCGCAAGAGUGAAAAUUAAAGAAAUU